ACCCAGUGACACAAUGGGUUGGUGCUUCUUGCUGUUAACCAGAAGGUUGGUGGUUCAAGCCCACCCAGGGAUG